UAAAACUCAAAUAUUGUUGAAAGUUUAGAUAGAAAUACACAAAUUUAAAGUUCAGACCCAAACAACAUGAUACUCUAUGACAAACUCAAAUAUUGCUGAAAGUUAAGAUAGAAAUUCACAAAUUUAAAUUUCAGACCCAAACAACAUAAUACACUACGACAAACCAUCCACUGAGUACUAUCUAGGAGGACUUUAAGCAUUUUUGGGCGGCGAAGAUGAAGGUUUAGCUUACCCAGCCUCAUCAUGUGGUUUAUUUGUGUCUCUUGCGAUGGUAGUACUCAGUGGAC
rnacentral:lncRNA from 1 species